UAGCGCGCACCCAGCAAGACACUUAG
rnacentral:misc_RNA from 1 species